rnacentral:rRNA from 1 species
CAGGCCUAACACAUGCAAGUCGAACGAGGCAGCGGCCUUCGGGCCGUUGUCGAGUGGCGAACGGGUGAGUAACACGUGAGGAACCUGCCCCGGAGACCGGGAUAACCAGGGGAAACUCUGGCUAAUACCGGAUGCCCCCGGAUGGUCGCAUGGCCAACCGAGGAAACGCUCCGGUGCUCCGGGAGGGCCUCGCGGCCUAUCAGCUUGUUGGUGGGGUAACGGCCCACCAAGGCAUCGACGGGUAGCUGGUCUGAGAGGACGAUCAGCCACACUGGGACUGAGACACGGCCCAGACUCCUACGGGAGGCAGCAGUGGGGAAUAUUGCGCAAUGGGCGAAAGCCUGACGCAGCAACGCCGCGUGGGGGAUGACGGCCUUCGGGUUGUAAACCCCUUUCAGCAGGGACGAAAAUGACGGUACCUGCAGAAGAAGCCCCGGCCAACUACGUGCCAGCAGCCGCGGUAACACGUAGGGGGCAAGCGUUGUCCGGAUUUAUUGGGCGUAAAGAGCUCGUAGGCGGUUGCGUAAGUCGGAUGUGAAAACUCAGGGCUCAACCCGGAGACGCCAUCCGAUACUGCGCUGACUAGAGUCCGGUAGAGGAGCAUGGAAUUCCUGGUGUAGCGGUGGAAUGCGCAGAUAUCAGGAGGAACACCAGCGGCGAAGGCGGUGCUCUGGGCCGGUACUGACGCUGAGGAGCGAAAGCGUGGGUAGCGAACAGGAUUAGAUACCC